UACAGAGGUCUCAAGCGUUGUUCGGAUUCAUUGGGCGUAAAGGGUGCGUAGGUGGCGUCGUAAGUGGGGUGUGAAAUCUCGGGGCUUAACUCCGAAACUGCAUUCGAUACUGCCGUGCUUGAGGACUGGAGAGGAGACUGGAAUUUACGGUGUAGCGGUGAAAUGCGUAGAUAUCAGGAGGAAUACCGGUGGCGAAAGCGACUCUCUGGACGGCAACUGACGCUGAGGCACGAAAGCGUGGGGAGCAAACAGG
rnacentral:rRNA from 1 species